rnacentral:rRNA from 1 species
CCUACGGGAGGCAGCAGUGGGGAAUAUUGCACAAUGGGCGCAAGCCUGAUGCAGCCAUGCCGCGUGUAUGAAGAAGCCUUCGGGUUGUAAAGUACUUUCAGUCGUGAGGAAGGUGGUGUUGUUAAUAGCAGCAUCAUUUGACGUUAGCGACAGAAGAAGCACCGGCUAACCCCGUGCCAGCAGCCGCGGUAAU